GCCUGCUUGCUGCCUUGCUGACUGUCAUGACGAUAAUGGACUGAACCUCUGAACUGACUACGAACCCUCUAAAGGAAUUCACCAGGCUCCAUGAGGGCAAAGGAGCCAAGAACUGCAUUCAGGGAUCCUUGGGCUGAAAAUCCAGCAGGGUCACAGAUGCUUCUGGGCUUCCAACAAAGAAAUAGAUCUGACUUCCCUCAGUGACGGAGUGUCAACCCGAAAUAAACCCUCUCGUCCCCAAGUUGACACGCUAUUCAUUAUAGCCACAGAAAGCAAACUGGAAUUUCUCCCUCAAGUUGCUUCUAUCCGAGUAUUUUAUCCCAGAGACACGAAACAAAACUGAGAUGCUCACUUCCCAGCUUCCCACCCGAUGCCCAGUUCAUCACUGUGGACAUCUACCCAGUCCCUCCCCGGUGAUGUGGCUGAUGCAGCGGGACCUGAUACUCACACCAUGAGAUC